rnacentral:ncRNA from 2 species
UAUAGCUUAUAGGGGUGUCAUGUCUUUGGCAUGGCUGAGAAAAACCCUCGGAACCUGAUACAGAUAAUGCUGUCGAAGGGAAUGAGCAAAUUCUCUCC